AAGGAGUCUAACAUGUAUGCGAGUAUUUGGGUGGCAAACCCUUAUGUGUAAUGAAAGUGAAAAUGGUGGGAUAUUUGCACCAUCGACCGGCCUGGAUUUUUUUGAUAGGUCUGAGUAAGAGCAUAUAUGCUGGGACCCGAAAGAUGGUGAACUAUGCCUGAAUAGGGUGAAGCCAGAGGAAACUCUGGUGGAAGCUCGUAGCGAUUCUGACGUGCAAAUCGAUCGUCGGAGCUGGGUAUAGGGGCGAAAGACUAAUCGAACCAUCUAGUAGCUGGUUCCUGU
rnacentral:misc_RNA from 1 species